UUAGAUCCGAAAUAGUCCCUUAGCUUUGGUACAUUGACCUGGGCUUCAAAACGUAACCCCUUCCGCACGGUCAUGGAUGAUAACUUCACUCGGACGUUUCAUUAUUUUUAGGGAAUGUACGAGAUAACCUGCAAGGCUGCAGAAGGUGUCACCUUCAUCGGACCUGACACACAUGCUACUCAAACCAUAGGAGACAAGAUCAGGGGCAAAUUAAUCGUCAAGAUGCCAAGGCCGGCGGCGUGCCCCCGCACACAUGGACCGGUCAAGAUUGCUGUUGCUGCUGCAUUUUGCUAAGAGCUCGUGAGCGCGCUCAGACGCUGAUGACGUCUGAGACUGCGCUGACUGCAGCACCUAGCUGCCGCCAGAAUAAAGACUGGAUAGUGAAUCAGAAGACUUGCCCUGGUUGCCUCCCAACAAUUCCCCCAGCUGUCAACUGCUGAAGACCACCUCAACGGUGCUUUGUGGCCUUUCAUGUUUCUUAAGUCCUGGGCUAUGUUAGCAUAAUGCUAAUGCGAUAUUUGUUUGGUCUUCUGAGCCACUCUGGAGGUCUUUGUAAGGUAAGGAGAAAGCUUCCCUCCCCUCCACCUGCUUUCACUUUUAGAUGGAGUACAGCAUCCACAACAAAAUGAAGAGUGAAUCUGAAUUUCCAGUCUGAACCUGCAGACAUCUCAUAAUCAGACUGAUCUCACGGAAAGUCGUGUUAUAGUCAUAAUUUAUUCGUGUCCAUGGCACAAAAUUCAGUUUUUUUUUCGUGCCUUGAGCACAAAUGUCUUUUUCUUGUCAUUUGCACAAUUUUUAUAAAUAGUUUUUCGUGUCAGUUGCACGACUUUCUUUUUCGUGUCAUUUUAUGUAUUGUUUUCUCAUUGUUUUUUCCUAUUUUCUUACCAUUGUCACUUCGGGUUGGGGUUACAAUCACUUUAUGUUAGACAUCCUAACCCAAACCCCAACUCUAACCCCAACCCCAUGCGACAAUGAUUUAAAAAUAGAAAUAUAAUGAGAAAUAAUAAAAUGACAUGAAAUAGAAAGUCCUGCCAUGGACACGAAAAAUUAUAGAAAUUCGUGACUCAAAAAAGACAUUCGUGCUCAAGGCACUGAAUUUCGUGCCAUGGACACAAAUAAAUUAAUAAAAUUUUUCGUGACUAUAACACAACUUUGCGUUAUUUGUGUGUGGAAAAAUUAGCUUAUUCUUAAAACAAAGUGUACCAUGGUAUAUGAAAAUAUACAUUGUUGGUGAACUGGAAGAAAACAACAAAAAGUUAUUUUAUGCAUUCCCUUUUGAAAAUUAAUCAUGGUUUAAAUAUAGUAACCGUUUAUUAUUUGUAGUAAAACAUACAUUUAAAUAAAUUAAAACUUAUUUUAAAAACUACAAUUUCCUAACUUGGCUGAACAUGAAGAAAUCUUUUUGGAUACUGGUAUGAUGUUGCAGUACAAUAAAAUAAAAUGUUUCUACCAUGUUGAGCUAUAUUUCACUGUAUUUUUAUAUUAAUUUUAUGAUAUUGUCUUCUUUUCAAUUUAGAAUAAGUAUCACCUUUAUUGCCAAGUACUACAGGCUUACAAGUAGCCUUCAAUACAAUAAAUUAAUAAAAUAUAAAAAUACCAAAAAAAUAUACAAAUUUCAACAGAGAAAAGAACAUUUACUAUACAUUUAUUGCGGGAUGUAAAAAGUUGAGUAAAAUGAGUAGCCUACAUUUUAGCACUAUGAGUUUUUUUUUGUUAGUGGAAUGUGUAAUUCCAUGGGGUCGGGUACGUGGCCAUGAUAUGUUAUGGUUGUUGUUGAUGAGAUUUAUAAAAUGGUUCCAGUCCUUGACUUGGAUCUUAUGUUUGAUAUACAAUAAUGAUAUACGUUUCUGUGUAUUACAGCACAGCAUCUUUAGCAACGUAAACGUAUGUUAAACAAUCGGUGCGUAUUCCAAACUGUGUUUUUUGCCUUUGAAGUGCACUUCGGGAAGGGGACGUCCCAUAAACUCCAGAUUAAGAGAAAAUUUAAUUUUUCUUUGUUCUAUUUGCCAAGUGUAUUUUAAUCGAGACACAAUUGCACAACUCCCUCUAGAAUUUACACAUUAUAUUGUGUGGUAACUAUUUCAUAAAAAAUAAGGUACUCAAGGCUAGUGGUGUAUUGUGAAUAAGUCACGGGCGGCUGAAGAAAGUUGUACCUUUUUGUCACUGGGAUGGUACCUUUUAAAAAGAACCAGUUCCAGUAUGAGGUUCAAGUAUGUACCAGCGUGUACCUUAGAGCUACCAAUAUGUACUUUUAGGUACCUUUUUGAAAAGGUACCUCCCAGUAACAACUUUUGUACCUUCAUUUGCCUUUUAUAUGAGAGUGAAGCUAUUUGCUUAUUCAACAAAUUCGAUUUGAUUUAUUUUAUUACUUCCAGUAAAUAUUAGUAAGUAAUUAGUCUCUUGGAGUGAAACACUAACAAAAUCUAAAUCACGAAAAUCAAUGUUGCAUUGUUUUGCCCUGUAAAUACUCAAACAUAGUAGAGGAAGUGUUAUACAAAUGUUACCCCAAUAUGCAAUAAUUGAUGAAACACACACAUACAUAUACAUAUAUGUACAAAUUUUAACCUUUGAUUGACAAGGCCUACAGAUAGCUGUGCAACCGCAUCCAACAGGUCCUUGUCAGUGUUUAAUUGCAUUAUUUUAAAGCUUCCGCCACCCACUUCUGCUAGAGACACAAUGACCACCCUGUCAUGUCUGCUACUCUAAACACACACUCAUCUAAAGUGCAUUAGAAAACAGGCACCCCAUCUAUUCAUUGACGUCCAUUGUCUCUUGACUUCAGCUCAGACUCAGUGAGAUGCUUCCCAGUGCUUGAGUGAGCAGGAACAGUAUGUUCUUCCCUAAAAAAUCUUACCGAAAAGCUUUUUAAUUACAACCAGCAGUAUUGGCAUCCAUACAUCCUGAUCUACCCAUCCUAAUGUCUUCACUUCAUCCUUCAGAACCUUCCUAUAAUGACCAUUCUUUCCUUAUUUUAGCCCAACAGUGGGUUUUUGUUUUGUCCGUCGAAUAGUCUGUGCCAAGGUUCUGCUCAUUAGAGAGUUUGGUGAAGUGUGGCAGGGCCCAUUCAAGCCGUCCAGCUGCCGAGUCUUUUACCUUCUCUCUGAAAGAAUUUAAGGUUGCCACUGCUGGUCGAUCUGUUUAUCUUGCAGACAGUGGAGGAACAAACAGAGAGACCUCUUCCCAUUCUCCCCAUGCCUCCGGUCCCAGACGCACCUGUUCGCCGUACUGGUGUCCGCGCAAGAAGCCAACUCAUUAGAGCCGGAGGCCAUUGUGGAGCGUCUAUUAGGAGGAGGUGAAGUGGAAAGGUCCAGACCGCUGUGGGCAGCAGGAACCUAAACCUCCAUUCUGUUCUUGCACAGAGGAGCAGGCGUGACCCAGAGCCUGGAUGGUUAUUAACCACUGCCACAACCUGUGCUAAUUAAUGGGGUAUUUGCUGCACCAUUGCUCUCUGCGUUUAUGCACAAAUAUCUUUUAUGUGGUAAAAUCAAGGCAUUGUGGGUGAUUGACUGAUGCAACUGUGAGUAGAGGCCUGAUUGUUUCAGCCUUGUCGAUUGGAGAUGUGACCUGCUUUUGAGUUUUUACUUGCAUUACAAUUCAGUUUGUUUACAAGUAAAGGCACCCAGCCAACCGCUUUGAAUGUCAAUUGUUUUUGUAUAGGUGACCCUGGGAUUGUUGGCACUAACUGGAUUAAGCUUGCAACUAAUCAGGUUACGCUUCAUAUGUGAAAUUAUAGGCACACUGUGUGUCAUUUUUCCCCUCUUCCUGACCCCCUGAACUCCCUUUAGGGACGGACCUCCAUGCAAACUGACCCUUUCUAGUCGGCACUGGCCAGGUGGCUCCUGACAAGCACUGACAAAAACAGGAAGCAUGACUCUGGACAUGGCAAGCCCCAGUGGGGCUGCCUGAUUGGUCGCUGACUCAGCACUGCUGCCCAGGAAGGCCUGACCCAAGAAGUGUCCAGGGACUUGGACAAGAUGGCUGAAUAAAUAAUUAGCAUGAAAGCAGUGUUAGAAACACUUAAGCAACAGGUUAAUUCUCCACUCUUGUGGGAGACGUUGGGUUGGAAGUAUGCUGUUUUACUAUUAAAUAUAUCUUGGAAUACCAGGUAACACUGGGGUUUUUGCAAACAUAAACAGACUAGCAAAGCUCCAUAUUCUGGGUAGGAUCUGAGGCUGUCAGUCACCACAGGCAAUCAUUCUGAUUCAUCGCUCGGUUUGUAAAAACAAACAAAAUUUAAAGUCCCCCUGUAGUCGAUCAUUUUACCCCUUAAAACUCUUCUUUGAGCACAUUUGAGUUUUUUUUUCUGUGAAAUCAAUUUAUGUCUUAAAAUUGCUUAAAUGUAACUCUACACUCUUGCCUCAUUUAGUAUACGCGGAUCUAUGAAUAUGCGAAUUAGUCCCCGCCUCUACUGAAUUGCACCUGCUUAGACCAUAAAUAUAUAUGUAUAGAUGUCGCAUUUGACAGUUCUAGACACGUAGCUGCUGGUUUAACAAUGCAUACGUGAGUUGCGUGUUUGCAGCAUGUAUUUUGAUGGCACUGAUGUUAACAGGUUAGAGCAUUCACACUGAACCUGUGAUAUGAUUAAAUGUUCACAUUUGCCAGACACUCGCUUAAUCUCAUGUUUAAUGUUAAGUUAGUGUCUUGCAAGUACUUUGCGAAACUCUUAGGUAACACUUUACUUGAAGGGGUGUUCAUAAGACUGACAUGUCACCUCCGUAAUCAUGACAUGACACGU